UGGGGAAUAUUGGACAAUGGGCGAAAGCCUGAUCCAGCCAUGCCGCGUGUGUGAAGAAGGUCUUCGGAUUGUAAAGCACUUUAAGUUGGGAGGAAGGGCAGUAAGCGAAUACCUUGCUGUUUUGACGUUACCGACAGAAUAAGCACCGGCUAACUCUGUGCCAGCAGCCGCGGUAAUACAGAGGGUGCAAGCGUUAAUCGGAAUUACUGGGCGUAAAGCGCGCGUAGGUGGUUCGUUAAGUUGAAUGUGAAAGCCCCGGGCUCAACCUGGGAACUGCAUCCGAAACUGGCGGGCUAGAGUAGGGCAGAGGGUGGUGGAAUUUCCUGUGUAGCGGUGAAAUGCGUAGAUAUAGGAAGGAACACCAGUGGCGAAGGCGACCACCUGGGCUCAUACUGACACUGAGGUGCGAAAGCGUGGGGAGCAAACAGG
rnacentral:rRNA from 1 species